GCAAGCUGGCGUGUGGACUUGUGUGGGAUGGGUGCAGGUCUGCAUAGAAAUCAUGUUCCCGGGCUUCUGGGCGUGAAGCGCUCACCGACUGGGAGGAGCGUGCAGAGGGUACGUGCUUUUAGAGACUUCCAGUCUUCCUGUGAUUUGGGGAUCGCAGUGUGAGUGAAGACGUCCAGGAUGGCUCAGGGAUCCGGGGAUCAAAGAGCAGUGGGGAUUGCUGACCCAGAGGAGAGUUCUCCAAACAUGAUAGUCUACCGCAAAAUUGAAGACAUCAUUACAAAGAUGCAAGACGACAAGACAGGGGGUGUGCCCAUUAGAACGGUCAAGAGCUUCCUCUCCAAAAUCCCCAGUGUUGUCACAGGUACUGACAUUGUGCAGUGGCUUAUGAAGAACCUUUCCAUCGAGGACCCAGUUGAAGCAAUACACUUGGGAAGCCUUAUAGCUGCCCAGGGCUACAUCUUUCCCAUCUCGGACCAUGUUCUCACCAUGAAGGAUGAUGGCACCUUUUAUCGUUUCCAGGCUCCAUAUUUCUGGCCUUCAAACUGCUGGGAGCCUGAAAACACCGACUAUGCCAUUUAUCUCUGUAAGAGGACAAUGCAGAAUAAAGCAAGGCUGGAAUUGGCAGACUACGAAGCAGAAAACUUAGCAAGACUUCAGAGGGCCUUUGCAAGGAAGUGGGAAUUCAUCUUUAUGCAAGCAGAAGCACAAGUAAAGAUUGAUCGGAAAAAGGACAAGACGGAAAGAAAAAUUUUGGAUAGUCAAGAACGGGCUUUUUGGGAUGUCCACCGGCCAGUGCCAGGCUGUGUGAACACCACGGAAAUGGAUAUCAGAAAAUGUCGACGUUUGAAGAACCCGCAAAAGGUUAAAAAGUCAGUGUAUGGCGUGACAGAAGAGUCCCAGUCACAAAGCCCUGUGCACAUGCCCAGUCAGCCAAUCAGGAAAACCACAAAAGAGGACGUCCGGAAGCAGAUAACAUUUUUGAAUGCACAGAUUGACAGACAUUGUUUAAAAAUGUCGAAAGUGGCUGAAAGCUUAAUCGCUUACACAGAACAGUAUGUGGAAUACGAUCCUUUGAUAACGCCAGCCGAGCCAUCCAAUCCCUGGAUCAGUGACGAUAUCUCUUUAUGGGACAUAGAAAUAAGCAAAGAGCCCAGCCAGCAACGAGUAAAGAGAUGGGGCUUCUCUUUUGACGAGAUGUUGAAGGACCAGGUGGGGCGGGACCAGUUCCUACGAUUCCUGGAGUCUGAAUUCAGUUCAGAAAACCUCAGGUUCUGGUUGGCUGUCCAAGAUCUCAAGAAACAACCCCUACAGGAUGUGGCCAAGCGGGUGGAAGAAAUCUGGCAAGAGUUUCUGGCUCCAGGGGCCCCAAGUGCAAUCAAUUUGGACUCUCAUAGCUACGAGAUAACCAGUCAAAACGUCAAAGAUGGAGGGAGAUACACAUUCGAAGAUGCCCAGGAACACAUCUACAAGCUGAUGAAGAGUGACAGCUAUGCCCGCUUCCUCCGAUCAAAUGCUUACCAGGACUUGCUGCUGGCCAAGAAGAAGAAAGUGAGCAAGGUCGUAGAACUUCCUUAGAAAAGUUCACUCGCAGUGUGUGCUGCUGGCGCAGAGUCAGAAUGGCCGCUGCAUUUCACCCCCGAGGUGGCUUCCUUCCAGCAGUGGGGAAAGUCGCUGGCGGGCAAGCGCCUCACGGGCCUGAUGCAGUCCUCCUGAAGGUUCCCACCGCAGGGCCGGCGCCCGAGGACCACGCGGGCAGGAGGCGACGCUCCAUCUCCGCGGACAGAGUUUCCUUACGGGGAGAUUUGGUCACUGUGAAAGAGAAAGAGUGAGGGCAAGGAGAAGCAGCGGUGGGGAGAUUCGGUGGGUGAACGAGGAGAGCUGAAAGAGUCCACAGAGCCUGGGUUCGGCCCGGUAGAGGCCCCUGUUUACAAACGUCUCUUCCUUGUACAGUUGUGCGCCGACACCCCGUUCUCGGAGAGGUCCUUAUCCCUAACUCGUUCAGGGGAGAACAUCUUGUGGGGUGUUGUGACUAUCACUUGAGAUCAUAUUCUUAUUAGCAUCACUCCUCCCGCUGUCUGG